GGACCUGGACCUGGUGGUGGUGGUGGUGGUGGCGCUGUGGGUCCCACUAUUAGUAGUAGACUAGACUAGUAGGGAGGGUCUAGCCGUCUAGGGACCGAUCACCCAUGGAAACUGGGGAGCCUGAUGCUGAUCAACCCCUCUGGGCUCUGGCCCUCUCUCUCCCCUUCAGAUUGAAAGUUGAAACACCAUCCUGACAUCCUCCGAUACGCAUUCAUGAUUCAUCCAUCUCAGACCAACCGAGUUGGCGGAGGAGAAUCGUCGGCGCAUAACCCGGCGCACAGGCCGGAAUGAUGGGAAAUUGGUGCGCAGGUCACUCCAAGCAACAGAUUUGAAAACGAUUACUCAUCGACCUCCCCCCUCCCUCCUAUUCUUUUGUGCUUCUAUCUUGUCUCCCUCUCCCCCUCCCCCUUGUUCUUCGCCCACCGCCUCCCACGGAGCGCACUCUGACACCUCCCGGUCCAAUCCGACCGGUUCCCACUUCGUUACAGUGGUGAUCCAAUGAGCGCGCUCUCAUUGGUGUACUUCUACGUGUUUAUUAUCUAUUGGAUUAAAGACAAAAAAAUACCAAGUAUACAACCUUCCAGUUCCACUGGAGUGAUGGUAGACGAAAGAGCGCACCUGAUUUAUUCCAUGAGAGCGCGGUCGUUGAAUCAUCGAUCCACUUCAUUAUCGGUUUAUUAAAUAAUAUUUCAUGAUUCAUCUAUCUCCCUCGGGAACCGCCGAUUACGGCCUACGACACGUGGUGUCAUUUUAUUCGAUUGUCACACGUGUGGUAAGCUCAGCACUGAAGAAUCAUGUAGUUAAGAGCCAUGAACCAAAGGUGGAGCGAGCAGCUGAAUUACUCUCUCUCUCUUUCUCUCUUCGUCGUCUUCUUGCUCAUUUCCUCUUUUCCACCCUUUCUCAUCUUUAUUUAAAGGCUCUUGCUUUGUCGAGAGCUUAGGCUACCUAAUAAUGUUAACAGCUAUUUUUUUCUUUCCAUUUUUGUUUACUCUGCUGCCUCGUUUCUUUACGUUUUGUUUUUUUUUUCGCUCCAAUUUUUCUGAAAUAUAUUUCCCUCGUCAUAUAAAUUGAUUUCCAUGGCUGAUUUCUUCUCAUUUCUGGAUUUACUUUUUAUGUUCUAAUGACAAUUUUCCGGGCAUGUUUAACCUUUUUGCUGGGCUGCUGCGGUUCUCUCUCAUCUCCACUCUUGAUCUUCUGAUACGCCGGUUUUGGGUUUUCGAUUGUUUAAACUCGGAAAUUAACAUUUGUUGCACUGUUUUGCUCCUUUGCCUCUCAUCUCCCCUCACCCUGAUUUUUGCUAUAAUUCUACAAUUUUUCUUCUCUUACAACCAUUUCUUUCCUUGGUUUAAAUACAUUUCUUACUUGUUUUCUUUCCUUAAUUUACUUGUUGCUUGUUCUUCCCAGAGAUUUCAGUUCGAAGAAGAUAAAAGAAAAGAGUGGAUGAAGAGAGAAACAAGGAGAUCCGAAAAAUAAGAUCAGUAAGAUCCUACAUGCUUUUCCACGGCUUUCUUGAACUUAGUACUCAGGUCGGUUUCUCUCUCUCUCUCUCUCUCUCUCUAUGUCUCAAGCAAAUGAAAGCAAAGUACAUCGACCACAUCUCAGUACAAAGCUCAAGAAAGCUGUGGGAAAACAUGAAAAGAUUUUGUUAAUUUCCUCCGCGUUCUCCUCCCCUCUCCAAGAUCCCAUCUUCACGAGGUAACGAUCACUUAUCUCUCUGCUUUGCUAGAAUUCGAGCGAGGAAAAGCUAGAUCUGGUUCAGGAUAUCAUAAGCAUGCUGCAUUUUGACUGUAAAAACGUUCUCCUUGUUUAGAUUUGAACCAGAUCUAAUUUUCUCUAUUACAGUAAAAAAAUAAGAAAGGAUCUUCUGGUUAGUUUUAGUGUUUCUAUUCUGCAGAUUCUUUUCAUUUAAACAAACAUCAUGUACAAGCCAUAUAAGCCAUAGCUCUAGCUCUUCUGAGGAAGCCAAACUGUGAAACCCUAGAUCUUUUUUGUUGCUUCACUCCUCACGAUUUCUUUUUCUUUUUUUUUAAUCUUUUUGGUAUCUCGGGAUCCGAAGACCAUUCAGAUCGGGUUCUUACUCGUAUUCAGCAGCUUUUACUUUUGGAAUUGUUUUAUAUAUCCAUUGCAAAAUUUACUUCAUUUUCUGUAAAUUGUAUUGUAUUUUUCUUAACUACAGUAGCAUUGCAAAUAAAAUGUAUUUUAACUCUUUCUUCCUCAACUUCAUGCAAAGUUCUUUAAAUUUGAUUAUUUCCAUAUUAUCUUUGUUUAACUUGCUAUCUUCAAUAAAUUGUUGAAUAUAAGAAAAAAAAUAGGAAGACCAUUAAUGGAAAAAUGAACAUUAGAUGACACGAAAUCAAACUGUUCUUUAUUUUUUUCUCUGAAGAAGAAUUCAAGGGAGAAAAAGGAAAAUUGUCAAUCAAAGAAAUCAAAUCGAAGUGAUACGGUUACAUUUCCUUCUUUAAUUUUGGCGGACGAAAGUAGAAAAAUAGAAAGCAGUGGACCCUCACUGGUUUGUCCAUUAAUGGCCAUGGGGGUCAGCAGUGGUUUCAGCUUUUGGUUGCUUUUCCUGAGCUGGAAGAGCAAGAAGCUGUGAGCUGUGUGUGGGAUUGGAGAUGGUCUGAUCAUAUUCUGAUAUUCUCUUUUUUCUUCCCUCUUCUUCCUUUUUAGUGUUUUCGGUAAAAAAAAAAAAAAACACAAGUGGGUACGUACAAACGAUGGUAUUAUUGCUUCUUAAUUCACCCCAACCUCACAGUUAACGGUUAUUACCCGUAAAGUUCAAACCAGUUUUGCUCCAUUGCAUACUUCACUUUCUAAUAACACCUUGUGAUGUCAAAACAAAACAAUAUAUUGAAGUCGAUUGUAGUAAUUAACUUCUCAUCCCUGUCUUGCUUUUGCUCUGUGUUGCUUUAUUUUAUGAGGCUUUUGAUAUAUCUUAAUAGUCUCUAAAUGAACCAAUCACCUUCUUCCUAUAGUUCAAACAAAGAUCAGAGAACCUGAGCACAUGACAACAAAAUAAAAUUUGGCCCAGAGCUAGAUCAUUGUAUUUGUUAGGCCAUCAUUGCGAGGGGACUGUAUGGCCAUCUGGUGUUGAUUAAAUGGUUAUUGAAGUGUAGGAACAAGAACACCAAGUGGUAGGGCUCUUCUCCUUUAUGUCUCUGCUUGAGUUGGAGCAAUAACAAUUGGAGGUCUUGGGCGUUGGUGUAAUUCUCCAUUUUCUCUUUGGGCGGGUGGGUGUGGUAUAAAUAUGGAUCAGUCAUGAUGUCGAGUAAUAUGAAAAGAAAGUUCCAUCUCGUUAAAUGAAGGAAUUUAUAGAGAAGUGGCACCGUGGGGAGAGCUAGAGAGAGGUACAGUGGAUAUGAUUUGCAGUUUAGCUAGUUGAUGGUGGUUGGUUCUUGCAAUGGCUUUUUCUAUAUAUCUUCAUCUUGCAGAAUGCUUCUGCGCUCAUAGAAUUAUAUGAAGUCGAAAUUCUUUCAAACAUGGGGUAUGUGGCUGACAUUGAUCUGCCCAUCAUAGCUAAGGCUACGAUACCACACAGUAGUCAUUCUGAUGGAGAGCUAGGGAUGAGUCAUCCAAACAAAGAUUUGAACCUGUAGAAGUGGAAUUCAUGUCUCUCAAAAAGGGAGUUUUUUUUGGGCAAAGUUCUUGGUACCUCAAAUCUGAUCAUGGAGCAGAAUUGUUUAUAGUACAGAGAGCUUUUCAAGGUAACAGAAAAACUUUGAGUUCAGUAAUGUCAAUUGUGUGUGUAAUCCAAGACGCUCAAGACACAAAGACCUUCAUAUAUAGUUGACACUGGCCAGGUGAUUGGAAUAUAAUAGCCUCCCGAUCGAAUGAUUGGUUGCUCUGAA